rnacentral:lncRNA from 1 species
CUGGGCUCAAGUGUUCCUCCUGCCUCAGCCUCCCAAUUCUGUAGGUCAAAAGUCAGGAAUGGAUCUCACUGGGCUAAAAUCAAGGUGUUGGUCAGCUGGCUUUAUUCCUUUCUGAGGGCUCUUGAGUUUGUUUCCUUGCUCAUGCAGAUGUUGGAAGAAUUCAGUUCCAUGCAGUUAAAGGACUGAGGGUCUUGCUCUGUCACCCAGGCUGGAGUGCAGUUGCUCUAUCAUGACUCACUGCAGCCUCAAAUGCUUGGACUCGAGCAAUCCUUCAGGCUAAAAGGUUUAUGAAGACAUCUGUCUUGUCCGGCAUCAUAUCCUGGGACCCACAAAGUGACUGAAAUAUAUCUGGUGGUCAAUAUAUAUUUGCAUCUUUCAAUUUAGACCGGCCACAUUUCAAGUGCUCAAUAGCCGCAUGUAGCUAGCGGCUACAAUAUUGAACAGUGCAGCUCUGGAAAUUUAAAAGUGAGUAAGAUAUGAUCCCUAUUCUCAACAUUUCACAAAGGGAAGUCUCAUCAUGUAAACAGAUAAAAUAUAGUACAAUUUAUGUGGCAAGGUAAUAUUUUGAGAUAAAAAUCAAAGAUUUUCUUUCCCGGGAGUUUCUUCUUGCUCUUUGUUCUUCCACCUAUUGAGUCCUUGCUACUUCUUAUUAAGGGCGAAAAGGAUAAAGAUGAGAACAAAGUCUAUAUAUAAAUAUAUGUAUAGUUUUUUGAGAACUGCCUGCUGGGUGCAGUGGCUCACAUCUGUAAUCCCAGCACUUCGGGAGGCCGAGGCGGGUGGAUCACGAGGUCAGGAGUUCGAGACCAGCCUGGCCAACAUGGUGAAACCCCGUAUAACUGUAUGUAUAUAAUUGUAUGUAUCUAUAUGUUUGUGUUUACAAGUACAUAUAUAUAUAUGUAAUUAUUUUUAAUUCACAGAAGAGAGUAUGGUCUUGAAAUUCUGGCUUUCAGAGUUAGCUUUUCUGAGAGGAAAAGGGCUUUUUGAACCAAAAGCUAAAAACCAGAAGGAUUCAGAGCAUGGGUUGUUUUUUUUUAUUAUUUUAUUUUGUUUACCAUAAAUGACAGAGCAGAGAGUAAUACAAAAUAUUCUAAGAACAUUUUUCUCAUUUCAAGACAAAUGAAAGUUCUUUCUUCCAGCUGGUGGG